rnacentral:rRNA from 1 species
AACACGUGGAUAACCUGCCUCAAGGCUGGGGAUAACAUUUGGAAACAGAUGCUAAUACCGAAUAAAACUUAGUAUCGCAUGAUACAAAGUUGAAAGGCGCUACGGCGUCACCUAGAGAUGGGUCCGCGGUGCAUUAGUUAGUUGGUGGGGUAAAGGCCUACCAAGACAAUGAUGCAUAGCCGAGUUGAGAGACUGAUCGGCCACAUUGGGACUGAGACACGGCCCUAACUCCUACGGGAGGCUGCAGUAGGGAAUCUUCCACAAUGGGCGCAAGCCUGAUGGAGCAACGCCGCGUGUGUGAUGAAGGCUUUCGGGUCGUAAAGCACUGUUGUAUGGGAAGAAAUGCUAGAAUAGGGAAUGAUUCUAGUUCGACGGUACCAUACCAGAAAGGGACGGCUAAAUACGUGCCAGCAGCCGCGGUAAUACGUAUGUCCCGAGCGUUAUCCGGAUUUACUUGGUGCGUUAGGAGCUGAGGCGCCAUGAUCUGGGUUUGAAUUAAAGUUCUUGGAUUGUGAAAGCCCGGAGCUCAACUCCGGAAUGGCAUUGGAAACUGGUUAACUUGAGUGUUGUAGAGGUAAGUGGAACUCCAUGUGUAGCGGUGGAAUGCGUAGAUAUAUGGAAGAACACCAGUGGCGAAGGCGGCUUACUGGACAACAACUGACGUUGAGGCUCGAAAGUGUGGGUAGCAAACAGGAUUAGAUACCCUGGUAGUCCACACCGUAAACGAUGAAUACUAGGUGUUAGGAGGUUUCCGCCUCUUAGUGCCGAAGCUAACGCAUUAAGUAUUCCGCCUGGGGAGUACGACCGCAAGGUUGAAACUCAAAGGAUUGACGGGGACCCGCACAAGCGGUGGAGCAUGUGGUUUAAUUCGAAGCAACGCGAAGAACCUUACCAGUCUUGACAUCCUUUGAAG